ensembl:lncRNA
AUGAUUUCCGUCGCAGAGCUUUGACGCCUCCUAACGUGCACGUUGUCGCGCCGCUUGACUUGUAGUCUUAUUGUGAAAGUGUGAGAGCGGACGUAGAGGCUGAGGCUCCGUGCUGAGUGCAGGUUCAGAUGUCGACCAUCACUCCCGAUAAAGCGCCUCAUCUGUCAAAGGUUUGGAUCGCACUGAGGCGGUUCGACAGAAACGAUGAAAGAGUGGUGGCUCUUCGAGAAGUGUCCUUUCCUUCAGCCACUGAUACCACCAUGAUCAUACAGAAUAUCCUGAUAAACAACUUAAAGUCUAUGAGAACUGUAAAAACACACAGUGAGCUGGAUCACUUUGGUCUGUGUGCAGAUAAGGAACCACCGUGGCUGUCUGAUCCCCCUGAACAGCUCCAUCCCUGCUAACAGCAAGCAUGUACCUUACGUGCUUGAGGUAGCCAAGAUUUUUCAGCAUGGUAAGAGUAUUCUCGCCUUCUAUUCUCUUCAGCAUGUGGCCAGGGGUCCUUCUGUCAUUUGAGCUUCUACAUAUCACAACACUGCCAAUAGAAUAUUGACAGAAAUCAAGAAUGUACGGUACAAUAUCUGAUAGAUAUAAAACUGCAAAGGACUGGAAACAGUUAGCUCUGUCAGUGUAUGAUAAAAUACAAAAAAUAACAUGUACAGUACCAGUCAAAGUUUGGACACACCUUGUUAUUUAAUAGUUUUUAUUUCUUUAUUUUCUACAUUGCAGAUUAAUACAGAAGACAUCAAAACUAUGAAUAAACACAUAUGGAAUUAUGUAGUAAACAAAAAAGUCUGGCUUCCAUGGUCACCUAACUUAAACCUAAAGGCAGAAAGGCCAACAAGUGCUCAGCAUCUCUGGGAACUCCUUCAAGACUGUUGGAAAACCAUUUCAGUGCAACCCAGGCCCAGAACCAUUCCCAUGAUUGUUAUCAACAAGAGCAUGAAGACCAGACUGCAGACUAUUGACAGGAGGAUUCAGAGACUGAACGACCUUCUACCUCAGAUCAAACUCAGGCACAAUGAAAAGCUCAGCCAGGAGAUUGAAUGUCUCAGCCAAAAGUUGAAGUUUCUCCAUAAGAGAAUGCAGGUGGCAGAUUCUCACAGCUGGAAAGGCAUGCUGACCAGAGCCCCUCUGUGGUAAACAUCCACAUUUCCGGCAGACAGAUCGCGGCCCUACGUCAAGCCUUGUUUACAGUGUGUUCACCCACAUCUGUCAUUCAUGUUGAGAUUUCAAACACAUUCGGUGGUCAACCUGGUGGGAAUCUGGACAGAAUAUCUUCUUUAUACAUUCAAAUCACACACUCAUCUCUCUGACCUUCAGGGUAUAGCUAAUAGAGUAAUUACAAUACUGUGCUUUUCUGUACAGCUCUACUGAAAAUGUAGUGAAAAAAUCCCUGUCACCUCGGUGUAAUUUAGUUAUAGCAUACAGUAAAGCACCAAAUACUUUGUUCUCAUGCCACAUUUUGAUUUUUAGUGAACCAUUAUUUCACCAAUAGGUUUCUUCUGGCUGGAAAUGGCAUAAAUAAAACAGUAAGAUGUUGUGUUAAAGGUGUUAAUGGUGAAUCUUAACUUUUUCUAUGUUUUUGUUUAAAUUAUUAUUCUUAAUUUACCCAAAAAUGCCAUGACCACAAUUAUUCAUGUACAUUGUAAUUGGCAGAUUUUUUUUUUUUAAUUAAAUGCAGCUUCUGUAGCAUUUCAAAUGAUCCCUGUAAUCUACAUCAUUUUCUAUAUUUUUCUGAUAAUAUUUUUCUAAAAUCAUGGCUAAACUAAAGAGCAAUCAGUGAGCUUGACAGGUAUCCCCAUCACUUGGAUGGAGCUGCAUGUUGUGGCUGCUCACGAGGCAAAGAAAGAUUAUAAAAUCAUAUCCAGGUAUCAUUAAGUGCCAUUGGCCACUGAUGAAGCAUCAUCAAAAAGUACAGGGACAAAGACUGCAAAGUCAAAUCUCAAAGGCCAUGGUAGGAAGCCAAAAGGGAGCCCUGCAUUGUCAAGAAGGUAGAGGUCAAGAAGAAUCCACUAAUCAAAACUAUUCUGAUUAAUCUGUGCAGUUGUAGUACCAACAAUUCAAUCAGACACUCCAGCAGACACUGAACAAGGCUGGUCUGCAUGGAAGGGAACCAAAGAGGACUCCAGUUCUCUAAGACGUGCAUACAGUGAAAGAAAAGAGAAGCAUUCAACCCAAGUACGCCAUACCCAUAGUCAAACAUGGUGGGAAUGUCAUGCUUUGGCAGAUAGAUCAGCAUUAUAACACAAAUACAGCAUUAUAACAAAGAAGGAUGACAUUACGAUUGUGAAGAAAAACAUCAAGCAGUCUGCAAAAACACUAGUAUCUCAGACAUACAGCCAAUGGGGUCAAGAAAUGUUUAACAGAAAACAAUAUAAACGUGUUGGAGCAGUCCCGUCCUGAAUCUAAUCAAGAAUCUGUGAAAGGAGCUGAAGACCAGAAUGACCCCUCAAAGACCUGGACAUCAUCACAAAAAGGAGUGGAAUAAAGUCCCAGUGGAGACAUUCAGAAAGAUUGUUAAAAGAUUUAAGAACUGUUUGGUGAAUAUGAUGUGAAUGACUACUGAGAAAGGGUAUGAAUAAUUUUGGACAUUGGUGUUAUAGUAAAAAUGUAAAAAUAUACAAAGA